UACGAAGGGGGCUAGCGUUGCUCGGAAUUACUGGGCGUAAAGCGCACGUAGGCGGAUUGUUAAGUCAGGGGUGAAAUCCCAGAGCUCAACUCUGGAACUGCCUUUGAUACUGGCAAUCUCGAGUCCGGAAGAGGUGAGUGGAACUCCUAGUGUAGAGGUGGAAUUCGUAGAUAUUAGGAAGAACACCAGUGGCGAAGGCGGCUCACUGGUCCGGAACUGACGCUGAGGUGCGAAAGCGUGGGGAGCAAACAGG
rnacentral:rRNA from 1 species